rnacentral:rRNA from 1 species
UGCAGUCGAACGCAGUAGCAAUACUGAGUGGCAAACGGGUGAGUAUAAUGUGGGAAUCUGCCUUUUGGUUUGGAAUAACACGGGGAAACUUGUGCUAAUACCGAAUAAGCCUUUACAGGGAAAGUUUUAACGCCGAAAGAUGAGCCCGCACUUGAUUAGCUAGUUGGUAAGGUAAAAGCUUACCAAGGCAACGAUCAAUAGCUGUUCUUAGAGGAAGACCAGCCACAUUGGGACUGAGACACGGCCCAGACUCCUACGGGAGGCAGCAGUGGGGAAUCUUGCACAAUGGGGGAAACCCUGAUGCAGCGAUGCCGCGUGAGUGAAGAAGGCCCUUGGGUUGUAAAACUCUUUCGUCGGGGAAGAAAAUGACUGUACCCGAAUAAGAAGGUCCGGCUAACUUCGUGCCAGCAGCCGCGGUAAUACGAAGGGACCUAGCGUAGUCCGGAAUUACUGGGCUUAAAGAGCUCGUAGGUGGUUAAAAUAGUUGAUGGUGAAAUCCCAAGGCUUAACCUUGGAACUGCCAUCAAAACUUUUUAGCUAGAGUGUGAUAGAGGUAAGUGGAAUUUCUAGUGUAGAGGUGAAAUUCGUAGAUAUUAGAAAGAACACCAAAUGCGAAGGCAACUUACUGGGUCAUCACUGACACUGAGGAGCGAAAGCAUGGGUAGCGAAGAGGAUUAGAUACCCUCGUAGUCCAUGCCGUAAACGAUGUGUGCUAGACGUUGGAAAUAUAUUUUUCAGUGUCGCAGCGAAAGCAUUAAGCACACCGCCNGGGGAGUACGACCGCAAGGUUAAAACUCAAAUGAAUUGACGGGGACCCGCACAAGCAGUGGAGCAUGUGGUUUAAUUCGAAGAUACGCGCGGAACCUUACCAACGCUUGACAUGUUCGUCGCGAGACUAAGAGANUAGUNNUUUUC